GACGAACGCUGGCGGCGUGCUUAACACAUGCAAGUCGAACGGAAAGGCCCUGCUUUUGUGGGGUUCUCGAGUGGCGAACGGGUGAGUAACACGUGAGUAACCUUCCCUUGACUUUGGGAUAACUUCAGGAAACUGGGGCUAAUACCGGAUAGGAGCUCCUGCUGCAUGGUGGGGGUUGGAAAGUUUCGGCGGUUGGGGAUGGACUCGCGGCUUAUCAGCUUGUUGGUGGGGUAGUGGCUUACCAAGGCUUUGACGGGUAGCCGGCCUGAGAGGGUGACUGGCGACCUUGGGCCUGAGAUACGGACCAGACUCGAACGGGAGGCAGCAGUCGGGAAUAUUGCACAAUGGGCGGAAGCGUGAUGCAGCAGCGCCGCGUGCGGGAUGCAGGCCUUCGGGUUGUAAACCGCUUUCGCCUGUGACGAAGCGUGAGUGACGGUAAUGGGUAAAGAAGCACCGGCUAACUACGUG
rnacentral:rRNA from 1 species